rnacentral:misc_RNA from 1 species
GAUGAAGAACGUAGCGAAAUGCGAUAAGUAAUGUGAAUUGCAGAAUUCAGCGAAUCAUCGAAUCUUUGAACGCACAUUGCGCCCCCCGGCAUUCCGGGGGGCAUGCCUGUUCGAGCGUCUCCAGGACGAAUCCUCGCGCGAGUGAACGCGCGGUCGUGGCGGAGGUGGCGUGCCCGAGCAGGGCGGCCACCGCGCUGGAAUCCAUGGGCGGACGCCUGCCGCGUGGCCGAGCGUGAUAUGACGCAUUGGCGCUCGUGCGCGGCGAGGCUGCCAGCCCUGGCCCGUCUGUCGGGCGGGGUAGAUCACCACGUGGGAACUCCUCGAAUCAGGUAGGGAUACCCGCUGAACUUAAGCAUAUCAAUAAGCGGAGGA